GUAUUCCUAUGAAGGAAAACAGAACUAACGUUACUGCCCAAACCUUUACAUGUACCCAUGGAACCAGAUCCUUCAGCCACAGUCCUCUGACACCAUACUGAAGAAGGCGACAGGCACCUGAGGAAGAAGGAUCCUAAUUAACCCAUGAGAAAAUGACACUGUUGGGAAGUAUGUUCAUUACAUUUCUGGCGGAUUCAAGCAGAUGUGAAAUCACCCGUCCCUGAUCAAGAGGUUCAGGGCCUCUCUCCUUUGACCAGUACUAGUUGACCUGAGAUCAGUACUAUCCUACCUGGGCACCUGGGAAUUUUCUCUUUGCAGGGAAUUUGGGAUAAGUGAGAGAAGGGCAGAUAAUAGAUACUUCCCCCAUCCACAUACCAAACUGUCACUGGGAUGGGGAAGAGACAUAUGCCACAGAAGACUAGAGGUCAAGUGAGAAGUAGAGAGAAAAUGGGAGGUAAGCCAAGAUAAGAUGUGCCCACAGACGGAGCAGAUGGCACAGCCGACAGCAGGGACUCCUAGUAAAAGUUUAGUUAAAAAAAAAAGCCUCCUAUUUGGGGAAACUCCCACUGUAUUUCAAUGGCCCAACACUGUACCCCACAGGAGGAUCACCACAGCAUGCCGGUAUGGUGCUGGGCACAAGAGGGGCUCACACAUGCUUGUUUACAGCUGGGGAUAUGGCUGGCCAUUGUCAAGUCACUCAGUUAAACUUGUUCACUCUCGCCAAUUUAACAGUGUACUCCAAGCCUGGUUCAUGUGGAAUCCAACAGAACAUAAUCCCAUGGCCUUAGGAGUCUUGGAAGCAGAGAGAUGCUGUUGGCAGUCAAAUGUGGACAGAAAGGUCCUUAUGUAUACCCACUGAAAGAUCCUAAUGGGAAGAACCAGUUUAAUCAAGUAAAAAUGGGACUGAAAACAAUCUGAGCAAGAUAAUUAUUAAGUUUUAAAGAGACUAUGGAACAUUCUUGAGAUUGACCUCAAUAUGUUAGAUUAUCAUUUCAAAGGAAAUCAUUACAUAAUGUUCCUUAACAUAACAAAGAGCAACCAACAAACCCAGGGUAUAUAAGGGGGUCUACCAGUGCUUUUUAACUGGUUUAUCCAAUACCUUUACCUCUAUCCUCAAAACAACUGGAUUCACCAAUAAAAUUUAUUUCAC